rnacentral:rRNA from 1 species
AUAGCGUAUAUUAAAGUUGUUGCAGUUAAAAAGCUCGUAGUUGAACUUCGAACGUGGUUGGGCGGUCCGCCUCACGGUGUGUACUGUCUGGCUGGGCCUUACCUCUUGGUGAGCCGGCGUGUCCUUUAUUGGAUGCGUCGGGGAACCAGGACUUUUACCUUGAGAAAAUUAGAGUGUUCAAAGCAGGCCUAUGCCCGAAUACAUUAGCAUGGAAUAAUAAAAUAGGACGUGCGGUUCUAUUUUGUUGGUUUCUAGAGUCGCCGUAAUGAUUAAUAGGGAUAGUUGGGGGCAUUGGUAUUGAGUCGCUAGAGGUGAAAUUCUUGGAUUGACUCAAGACCAACUAUUG